GACGGAGGAUGCAAGCGUUAUCCGGAAUGAUUGGGCGUAAAGCGUCCGCAGGUGGCAGUUCAAGUCUGCUGUCAAAGACCGGGGGCUUAACUUCGGAAAGGCAGUGGAAACUGAACAGCUAGAGUAUGGUAGGGGCAGAGGGAAUUCCUGGUGUAGCGGUGAAAUGCGUAGAGAUCAGGAAGAACAUCGGUGGUGAAGGCGCUCUGCUGGACCAUAACUGACACUCAGGGACGAAAGCUAGGGGAGCGAAUGGG
rnacentral:rRNA from 1 species